rnacentral:lncRNA from 1 species
AUAUAUAUAAUAUUUAAUAUAAAAAAUAAAUAAAUAUUAAUAUAUAAAUAAUAAAACUUAAUAAAAUAAAUAAUAUAUUAAAUUUAAUUAAUUUAUAUUAUAUAAUAAAAUUUAAGUAUAAAUAUAUUAUCAUAAAAAUACUAUUUAUAUUAAUAUAUUUAUUUAUUUAUCUAAUAAAAUAAAAAGAGUAAUAAAGUUGUUCUGAGUUUUUCUAGGAAUAAAUUUUUAACGAAUUGUUUCAAAACAACCCAU